rnacentral:rRNA from 1 species
AAUGCCGCGUGAGUGAGGAAGGCCUUCGGGUUGUAAAGCUCUGUCAGAUGGGAAGAAUGUUAUUGGUUCGAAUAGGGCCAAUAAGUGACGGUACCAUCAAAGGAAGCACCGGCUAACUUCGUGCCAGCACCUUCGGUGACUGAGCGGGCUGGCAAGGCGCAUA